rnacentral:rRNA from 1 species
GACGAACGCUGGCGGCGUGCUUAACACAUGCAAGUCGAACGAUGAAGCCGGAGCUUGCUCUGGUGAAUUAGUGGCGAACGGGUGAGUAACACGUGAGUGACCUGCCCUUGACUCUGGGAUAACUGCGGGAAACUGUAGCUAAUACCGGAUACGACCCUCGGAGGCAUCUCCUGGGGGUGGAAAGAAUUUCGGCCAAGGAUGGACUCGCGGCCUAUCAGCUAGUUGGUGAGGUAAAGGCUCGCCAAGGCGACGACGGGUAGCCGGCCUGAGAGGGUGACCGGCCACACUGGGACUGAGACACGGCCCAGACUCCUACGGGAGGCAGCAGUGGGGAAUAUUGCACAAUGGGCGCAAGCCUGAUGCAGCAACGCCGCGUGAGGGAUGACGGCCUUCGGGUUGUAAACCUCUUUUAGCAGGGAAGAAGCGAAAGUGACGGUACCUGCAGAAAAAGCACCGGCUAACUACGUGCCAGCCGCCGCCGUAA